rnacentral:lncRNA from 1 species
CCAUGUUCUACUUGGCUCGGAGCCCAGUUGUUGUCCAUAUUUUAGGAAGUUACCCUUCACUUUCUCCCUCUGCGGUCUGGUUUAUUUUUGGAAACAGAUGGCCAAUUGUCAGCCCAACCUAAAUGUCUGAAGAAUAUUUUGUGAUUGUGUAAAGACAGCAGGCGCGAUUUUGUUGUUGGAGAAGACAAAUACACCUUACUUCCCUCACAAAAAGCUUGGAGA